GUCGACGGCCACACCUAGGCGAAAACACCAGUUCCCGUCCGAUCACUGCAGUUAAGCGUCUGAGGGUCUCGUUAGUACUAUGGUUGGAGACAACAUGGGAAUCCGGGAUGCUGUAGGCU
rnacentral:rRNA from 1 species